rnacentral:rRNA from 1 species
GAUGAACGCUGGCGGCGUGCCUAAUACAUGCAAGUCGAGCGAACAGACGAGGAUUUUGCUCCUCUGACGUUAGCGGCGGACGGGUGAGUAACACGUGGAUAACCUACCUAUAAGACUGGGAUAACUUCGGGAAACCUGAUCUAAUACCGGAUAAUAUAUUGAACCGCAUGGUUCAAUAGUGAAAGACGGUUUUGCUGUCACUUAUAGAUGGAUCCGCGCCGCAUUAGCUAGUUGGUAAGGUAACGGCUUACCAAGGCAACGAUGCGUAGCCGACCUGAGAGGAUGAUCGGCCACACUGGAACUGAGACACGGUCCAGACUCCUACGGGAGGCAGCAGUAGGGAAUCUUCCGCAAUGGGCGAAAGCCUGACGGAGCAACGCCGCGUGAGUGAUGAAGGUCUUCGGAUCGUAAAACUCUGUUAUUAGGGAAGAACAAAUGUGUAAGUAAAUAUGCACGUCUUGACGGUACCAAAACAGAAAGCCACGGCUAACUACGUG